UACGGAGGGUGCAAGCGUUGUUCGGAAUUACUGGGCGUAAAGCGCGCGUAGGUGGGUCUGCUAGUCGAUUGUGAAAGCCCCGGGCUUAACCCGGGAGUUGCAGUCGAUACUGUAGAUCUUGAAUGCCUGAGAGGAUGGCGGAAUUCCCGGUGUAGAAGUGAAAUUCGUAGAUAUCGGGAGGAACACCCGAGGCGAAGGCGGCCAUCUGGCAGUGCAUUGACGCUGAGGCGCGAAAGCGUGGGGAGCAAACAGG
rnacentral:misc_RNA from 1 species